UGCUGUCCCUGUCCACCCGUGAGUGUGGCAUUUAUUAAAUGUGGGCAUUUUUGAUCCGAUCUAAUCUGGUUUGAUGGAAGUUCUCUGCUCUGGCGGAGAGGCUCUUUUUAAGGAUUAUUUUUAAUAGAUGGAGGGCCCCCACCAAAAGGGUCUGUUUUUUUCCCAUGGGCCCAGGGCCCAGGGCCCAGGGCCAAGCUAGAAAACACUCUUCCUGUAUCCUCUCUACCAGGCAAGGUCGGCUUCAGGGUUCGUCUCAUUGGAAAGUGGGAUCACAUCACCCGUGGAAGGGCAAGGGAUAACGGAACCACUCGAGAACGCAAGCCCAGCAUCACGAUAACCGCAGGCUAUCCCAGAGGAGUUCCGCUGAGGAUCCAGUGACGGUGUGCCAGAGACCAGAGGCCUUGAACCAGACCAGCGACCCAGUGCAAAGAUUUGCUAGUGAAGCUAAUAAGACAAAAGGGUGAACUAUGAUACACCGAGG